rnacentral:rRNA from 1 species
AUUGAACGCUGGCGGCAUGCCUUACACAUGCAAGUCGAACGGCAGCAUGGGUGCUUGCACCUGAUGGCGAGUGGCGAACGGGUGAGUAAUACAUCGGAACGUACCCGGAAGUGGGGGAUAACGUAGCGAAAGUUACGCUAAUACCGCAAAUUCUGUGAGCAGGAAAGAGGGGGAUCGCAAGACCUCUCGCUUUCGGAGCGGCCGAUGUCGGAUUAGCUAGUUGGCGGGGUAAAGGCCCACCAAGGCAACGAUCCGUAGCGGGUCUGAGAGGAUGAUCCGCCACACUGGGACUGAGACACGGCCCAGACUCCUACGGGAGGAAGCAGUGGGGAAUUUUGGACAAUGGGGGCAACCCUGAUCCAGCCAUGCCGCGUGAGUGAAGAAGGCCUUCGGGUUGUAAAGCUCUUUCGGCCGGGAAGAAAUCGCACAGGCUAAUACCUUGUGUGGAUGACGGUACCGGAAUAAGAAGCACCGGCUAACUACGUGCCAGCCGCCGCCGUAAUAC